rnacentral:pre_miRNA from 1 species
CAUAUACUACCUUCGUCCGGAAAUACUUGUCCUAGAGAUGAAUGUAUCUAGACUUAUUUUAAUUAUAGAUACAUCUAUUAUAUACAUUUAACAUUUUUAGGACAAGUAUUUCUGGACGGAGGGAGUAUAUA